AUUGAACGCUGGCGGCAGGCCUAACACAUGCAAGUCGAACGAGUGGCGGACGGGUGAGUAAUGUCUGGGAAACUGCCUGAUGGAGGGGGAUAACUACUGGAAACGGUAGCUAAUACCGCAUACCAUCAGAUGUGCCCAGAGGGGAUGAGCAGGUUGGUGGGGUAACGGCUCACCAAGGCGACGAUCCCUAGCUGGUCUGAGAGGAUGACCAGACAAAAUGGAACUGCGAGACGGUGCAGAGUCCUACGUGAGGAAGCAGUAGGGAAUAGGGCACAAUGAGCGCAAGCCUGAUGCAGCCAUGCCGCGUGUAUGAAGAAGGCCUUCGGGUUGUAAAGUACUUUCAGCGAGGAGGCGUUACCCGCAGAAGAAGCACCGGCUAACUCCGUGCCAGCAGCCGCGGUAAUAC
rnacentral:rRNA from 1 species